AACCUGGUUGAUCCUGCCAGUAGUCAUAUGCUUGUCUCAAAGAUUAAGCCAUGCAUGUCUAAGUUUAAGCAAUAAACGGUGAAACUGCGAAUGGCUCAUUAAAUCAGUCAUAGUUCAUUUGAUGGUACCCUGCUACAUGGAUAACUGUGGUAAUUCUAGAGCUAAUACAUGCCGAAAAAUCUCGACUUCUGGAAGAGAUGUAUUUAUUAGAUCCAAAACCAAUGGCCUUCGGGUCUCCUUGGUGAAUCAUGAUAACUGCUCGAAUCGCAUGGCCUUGCGCCGGCGAUGCUUCAUUCAAAUAUCUGCCCU
rnacentral:rRNA from 1 species